rnacentral:lncRNA from 1 species
CGGUAAUGGUUGGAGGAUGUGUUGCAGCCAUGCCAAUUCUCAAGAAAAUCCCAACUUCAGUACUUUGGGGUUACUUCGCUUUCAUGGCAAUCGAAAGUUUACCUGGAAACCAGUUUUGGGAAAGGAUCUUGUUACUAUUCACCGCACCGAGCCGAAGAUUCAAGUAAUUAUUAAACAAAAUUCUAUAUAUUUAAUCCAUCUAAUAUAUAUGUUUAAUCACAUUCUAUCUAUGUGCAGGGUUCUUGAAGAUUACCAUGCUACUUUUGUUGAAACAGUUCCUUUCAAGACAAUAGCAACAUUCACAAUUUUCCAAACCAUUUAUCUACUGAUAUGUUUUGGACUAACUUGGGUACCUAUUGCCGGAGUCAUGUUUCCGUUGAUGAUCAUGCUCUUAGUUCCGGUUCGACAAUACUUUCUU